GACGAACGCUGGCGGCGUGCUUAACACAUGCAAGUCGAACGGGCCCGCUCUCUUUUUUGGGGGUGGGUUGAGUGGCGAACGGGUGAGUAUCACGUGAGUAACCUGCCCCCUGCUCCUGGAUAACUGCUUGAAAGGGCGGCUAAUACGGGGUGUGCCGGCUGGUCCGCAUGGGCCUGGUCGGGAUAGUUUCAUCUUCGGGUGUUUCGGUGGGGGAUGGGCUCGCGGCCUAUCAGCUUGUUGGUGGGGUGAUGGCCCACCAAGGCGGUGACGGGUAGCCGGCCUGAGAGGGUGGGCGGCCACACUGGGACUGAGACACGGCCCAGACUCCUGCGGGAGGCAGCAGUGGGGGGUAUUGCACAAUGGGCGGAAGCCGGAUGCAGCGACGUCGCGUGAGGGAUGGAGGCCGUCGGGUGGUGAACCUCUUUCUCCGGUGGUGAAGGCCCUGUCCGUUGCGGCGGGGUUGACGGUAGCCGGGGAUGAAGCGCCGGCUAACUACGUG
rnacentral:rRNA from 1 species